UUUCCAGACACGGCGGUAGGAAAGCUGCUUGUUCCUGCUUUUCCUUCCCCUUCCCUUCCCCUUCCCCUUUCCCAACCCGGAUUUUCCCUUCUUCCAUUUACGCGCCUCAUUUUGAUCGACUGCUGCCCGGGAUCCGAGCCAUUUUCCGGGCCGGGCGCUCGAAAGCGCGCGGCCCCAGGGCCCGGUUCAUGACCCGUCGCCCUGCCGCCCCUUGCCUUCUCCGCCUCAUGUGGCUGCGGGGCCACGGCGGCGCUGCCCACUAUGGCCCGGAAAGCAGUUAGCAGGAAGCGGAAAGCGUCUGCCUCGCCAGGAGCCGGGAGCGACGCUCAGGGCCCGCAGGUGAGGGCUCACAGGUCUGGGUCAUCACCUAGCAGGGGCUUAGGGCGUUCCAGCUGGGUUCAGGAACCUGGGGCCAGGGCGGGACGAGAACCGGAGCCGGGACUGUAGAGCAGUGACCGGUCCUUCUGCAGUGUACUGGCGAGCAGGCGGGCCGGAAGGGUGAGGAGCCAAAAGAAAACUACAAAAUGACGCCUUCCGCUGGAAGUCAGCAGCUAGGGAUAGAGAGCUUCAGGACCUCCUCGUUCCUGGAGGGAGGAGAAAAUGAAGACAAGGGGAAUCGGAAGUAAGACCGACCUUCCGAAGUUACUGGGAAGGAGAUUGAAGUGGACCUUCCAGUGGCACUAGGAAUAAGGGCCGAUGGUCUCUUAUCAAGGAAACCAUCUCCUAAACUGGGUGCAGGCCCCUUUGGCUCUUUAGACAUCUAGAAGAAACACCAGGUGUCAUCUCUAUAUUGCCCCCUUUGGAGAGGAAGGCCUCUUGGACUUGGGAUUCCGACGCAGGUUACCCCGUUGGUAUUUGAUUUUUCGAAUUCUAAAACUGCCCGCAGCGCAAGUCGCGCGGAGUCAGAUGAGCGGCCAUUGACUGUACAUCCCUGGAAGAUCCGAGACCCCAGUCUGGCUCUUUGAGCUAUACUCUUUAUGCUCUACGGGGUGCACAGGCGGAGAGGGAGAAGGGGGCUGGGUAGAAGUGCAGCCCAGGUGGGUUCUGUAAUAUGGACUUCAUUUCGUAACUAUCAAGGACACCUGGGUAUAUGUUAUUUCUGAGCCCUCCACUUUCCUCAAAGGUUUAGUUAACUUUUUUUUGCCCUGUUUAUCCAUUUUCUAAGUAGUCUUCAUUAUGAGAGCCUUAUUUCAGUGCUAGCCGAGUUAAACUGUACUUUCUGGAUUACAAAUCUUCUGUUAAAUGUUUGAUUGUGUAAAUCCCGAAGGACGAAUUCGUGUUGGUUCUUUUAUAAAACGGUCAGACUUCUUGUCUGAAGGAAAAGUGGCCAAACCCCUGAUUUCUGAUGUUGGCUUUCACAGUUUGGCUGGGAUCAUUCGCUGCACAAAAGGAAAAGACUCCCCCCAGUGAAGAGAUCCCUAGUGUACUACCUGAAGAACCGCGAAGUCAGGCUCCAGAAUGAGACCAGCUACUCUCGCCUGUUACAUGGUUAUGCAGCACAACAGCUUCCCAGUCUCCUCAAGGAGAGAGAAUUUCACCUCGGGACCCUUAAUAAAGUGUUUGCUUCUCAGUGGUUGAAUCAUAGGCAAGUGGUGUGUGGCACGAAAUGCAACACAGUAAGUAUCAGGAGUGCUCUUUGUCUUCCUUUUGUUGCUGCUGCGGUUUGGUUUGGUUGAGACCAGGGUUUUUCUGUGAAGACCUGGCUGUCCUGGAACUCACUCCAUAGACCAGGCUGGCCUCGAACUAUCUAUCUGCCUGUCUCUGCCUCCCAGAGCUCAGCGGUGUGGGCUGUGCUUCCUUUUUCUUAGGUCUGAGAUGUGGGACUUGGUUUACUCUAGCACCUUUCACUGUUCGUCUUUCCCCGUUUGUUUGCCUUUUUUUUUUUUUUUUUUUUUUUGUAAGCAGAGUUGGAGUUUAUUAAGAGAUUUUUAAUUAGAAGUGUUAGGACAAAGAAGUGCUCAAGGAAUGAGUAAACUGUAGUGUGGGUCUGGGCUCUUGAGGGAAACGUGCUCCCAUCAGCUUCCCUCUCUCCCUCCUCCUUCAUUGGUGACCUUGUCCUCUUUUUCUGCUUCUUUUCUCACUUCUGAGUCUCCCGACCCCUUCAAAUGAACAUGUGUUUUAGGUCCCCUGACUCUGUAUGCUGCUGCUUCUAGUGUUUUAGAUAAGAGGCCUCAAAGAGAAAUUGAUGUCAGAGCAUCAUUUAGGGUACACGGUAGUGACCGUUUCAUUGCUGUGUAUCAGCCUUUGACAUAGUUAGAAGUAUUAAGCACCAAGCUGAAGGUAGAAAUGAGACAAAUACUUUUUCAUAUAUUAGAAUCCAAAUGUAGCAUUUUGGAAUCUGGGGCAAUAGAAUUGUUACAGUUCCAAGUCAGGCAGGGCUUUAUAGUUGAGACUUUGUCUCAGAACAAACAAAACUCAAAGAUAUGAUUAGUUUCUGGGACAAAUGUGUGUGUGUGUGUGCCUAGUGGCAUAUGGGCAUUUGCAAAGAAGAGAGGAAAAUUAUGGACAUGAGAGUAAGGGAGCAGUUUUAAAGAGAGUAAGGGUUAUAAGUAAUUGGAGUAGAAAUCUUAUCAGGAAACUAUGUAACCAGUAUGGUUACAAGCUAGAAGAGUCAAAAGAGUGGGUGUGGUGCUUGCUUUAGCAUUGUAUACAUACUUAAAUUGGGACGCUACAGAGAAGAUUAGCAGGGCUCCUGCACAAGGACGCUUACAAGUCUGUGCAGUGGUUUAUCUUUUUAAGAAAGUGGAUAUGAUUGGAAUGGAAGUGUGCAGAUGGCAAGACAUCUCAGAAGUCGUAGAUGCUAGGAGAUGUAGGACUGGAGUUGGGGAAAUAGUUCUGUCUAGCCCUCCCUCUGUUUUUAACUCACCUAGUGUGGAUAGACAGGUAAUGUUAGAAUGGCGAGUAAACUGACCCUGGACCAAAACGUAUCUGGGGUUAUUUAAAAGAAAGGUUACUCUACAUCAAGAACUAUGGGCCUGUGAGAUUGUUCAGUGGAAAGAUGCUCGCUGCCCAAGCCUGAUCCCCAGAACCCACAAAAAGGUGGAAGGGACUUCAUAAAGUUGCUUUCUCUGACCUCCACAUGCCACACUCUCUGAAACGUACACCACACUUACAACACAUCACAAUAGUAGUCAUCGUCGUAGGAAUAAUAAUAGU
rnacentral:lncRNA from 1 species